GCGCACGAGCCCAAGUGGAUCAAGGCAGUGGAUUGUGAAU
rnacentral:tRNA from 1 species